rnacentral:tRNA from 1 species
CGGAGUGUAGCGCAGUCUGGUAGCGCACCUUGUUCGGAACGAGGGGGUCGUAGGUUCGAAUCCUAUCACUCCGACCA